rnacentral:sRNA from 1 species
CAGCCGGAAGUGGCUGCUGCUGCGGAGAAUUGGAGAUGGGGACCGCCCUGGACAUCAAGAUUAAAAGAGCGAAUAAAGUUUAUCACGCCGGGGUGACCGCAAAGGUCUAAUGAACGAAAGCUAAAACAAACCUUGGAAGCAGAAAUGGGAAGUGCUCUCUGGCGUGGUGGUCAUAUCGAGUAAGGAUUCAGUCCAGCACCAAGGAGUGUCUUUGACCAUGGAAGGAACUGUAAACCUCCAGCUCAGUGCCAAAAGUGUGGGUGUGUUCGAAGCUUUUUAUAAUUCUGUUAAGCCUAUCCAGAUUAUCAACAGCAACAUAGAAAUGGUGAAGCCAGGGAAGUUUCCCAGCGGCAAAACAGAAAUCCCUUUUGAAUUUCCUCUGCACGUGAAGGGUAACAAAGUUCUGUAUGAGACGUAUCAUGGCGUGUUUGUCAACAUUCAGUAUACACUGCGCUGUGACAUGAAGCGGUCUCUGUUGGCCAAGGACUUGACAAAGACCUGUGAAUUCAUCGUUCACUCCGCUCCUCAGAAGGGGAAGUUUAGUCCCAGUCCCGUGCACUUCACGAUUACACCUGAAACCUUACAGAAUGCCAGAGAGAGAGCUUUGCUUCCCAAAUUUCUCCUUCGAGGACAUCUCAACUCAACAAACUGUGUCAUCACACAGCCGCUAACGGGAGAGCUGGUGGUGGAGAGCUCGGAAGCCGCCAUCAGAAGCGUGGAGCUGCAGCUGGUGCGCGUGGAGACGUGCGGGUGUGCAGAAGGCUAUGCCCGCGACGCCACGGAGAUUCAGAACAUUCAGAUCGCCGACGGGGAUGUGUGCAGGGGCCUCUCUGUCCCCAUCUACAUGGUCUUCCCUAGGCUGUUCACUUGCCCUACACUGGAGACCACCAACUUCAAAGUGGAAUUUGAGGUGAACAUCGUGGUGCUUCUUCACCCCGACCACCUCAUCACGGAGAACUUCCCACUGAAGCUCUGCAGGAUAUAGCCCAGAGGAGGGAAGCACAGAAAACGGG